rnacentral:rRNA from 1 species
UACGUAGGGGGCAAGCGUUGUCCGGAAUUAUUGGGCGUAAAGCGCGCGCAGGCGGUCCUUUAAGUCUGAUGUGAAAGCCCACGGCUCAACCGUGGAGGGUCAUUGGAAACUGGGGGACUUGAGUGCAGAAGAGGAGUGUGGAAUUCCUGGUGUAGCGGUGAAAUGCGCAGAUAUCAGGAGGAACACCAAUGGCGAAGGCAGCACUCUGGGACGUGACUGACGCUGAGACGCGAAAGCGUGGGGAGCAAACAGG